UACGUAGGGUGCAAGCGUUGUCCGGAAUUAUUGGGCGUAAAGAGCUCGUAGGCGGUCUGUCGCGUCGGCUGUGAAAACUCGGGGCUCAACUCCGAGCUUGCAGUCGAUACGGGCAGGCUAGAGUUCGGCAGGGGAGACUGGAAUUCCUGGUGUAGCGGUGGAAUGCGCAGAUAUCAGGAAGAACACCGAUGGCGAAGGCAGUUCUCUGGGCCGUAACUGACGCUGAGGAGCGAAAGCGUGGGGAGCGAACAGG
rnacentral:rRNA from 1 species